UUUAUUAAGGUAGUAAUAGUUAUGUUCUUGAAACUUAAAAAAUUUGGCGGUAUUUUAGUCUAUUCAGAGGAACCUGUUCUGUAAUCGAUAAUCCACGUUGGACCUUACUUAAAUUUGUUUUUCAAUUUAUAUACCGUUGUUAUUAAAAUAUUUUUUAAAAAUAAUAAUAUUUAAUAAUUUUAAUAAAAAUUUAUAUCAAAUCAAGGUGUAGUUUAUAUUUAAGUAGAAAUGGGUUACAAUAAAUAUAUUUUUGGAUAUAAAGAUGAAAUUUUUUAUUGAAAUUGGAUUUGAUAGUAAAAUUAUAAAGAUUAAUAAUUUGAUUUUAGCUCUAAAAUAUGU
rnacentral:rRNA from 1 species